ACCCACCACACCGCUAGCGCCUCUGAACCUCGCCAGGCACGUCCGGUUCUGCGGCCCCCACUCCGCCCCCGCCUGCCGGGAGCCGCGCAGUUACAAAGUGCCGGGAGCCGUGCAGGGCCAGUGAACCCCUCGCUGAGACUCAGUUUGCUGCCAUCACAAGUGCUCUGAGAAUCCUGGAGAGGGAGGAUAUUGGAGACAAACGGGACUGCUGCCCGCCUUUUAGGCGACCGUUGGAGGCUGCUCUGUGCCGGACACAGGCAGGGAAAAUGUCAGCCCCGCGAGGGAAAUGGCAAAGGGAAGAUGACAGCAGACGAGAGAAACAACAGCCCCACCUGACACAGCCAGGACCCUGCGGAGAGGCGGCAGGAGCCCCCACUUCCUCGGGACUCAGCCUCUGCACCCCGGGACUGCCCAUGGCCCCUCUGAGGGCUCUCCUCACUCCUUCCUCCCUCAUUAGGGAAGAGGCCAGUACCCAGCAGCCAUGGCCCAAGCGCAGGUGGUCUGUUCUGUGCACCCAGCAUCCCCCUAGGGUCUAAACCAGCUCCCACAGCUCAGAAGUCAGCGGAGCAGAGUCCCCAGGAAACCAGGGUCAGGGAUGGAGGCUGCUGAGGAGCGGGUCUGGGAGGUGGAGGCCAGAUACAAGAAAACCACAGUACCAGUAAAUGACAAAGGCUGGAUCUUAACCCAAGUCCUCCGACUCUGAAGGCCAUACCCAACAGGUCCCAUUUUAUUUGUUUUACUUUUUUUUAAUUGAAGAAAAAAAAACUAGCAUUCCCCUACAGUGCCCCCCACCUGGUGGGGACAUCUUGGGUUGGCAAGGCCACCACUUUCAAGAGUAGAAGUGUUUUUCAGCAGGAGGAGUUGGCUGCACCAAAGGAGCUCAGGAGAAGCUGGAGUCUCAGGCCCAGCAGGAACAGCCAGAGGUUUUGCAGCUUUGCCCAGCGGCUGGGUUCGCCGAAGGGUCUCCCUGGGGGUUCCCAGCAUGAGCCGAAGCCACCCUCCCCUGUGGGAUCUGUGAGGCCAGGCAUUGGGCC
rnacentral:lncRNA from 1 species